rnacentral:rRNA from 1 species
GAUGAACGCUAGCUACAGGCUUAACACAUGCAAGUCGAGGGGCAUCACAAGGUAGCAAUACUGAGGUGGCGACCGGCGCACGGGUGAGUAACACGUAUCCAACCUGCCGUUUACUCUUGGAUAGCCUUCUGAAGAGGAGAUUAAUACAAGAUAGUAUCAUGAGAUCACAUGUUCACAUGAUUAAAGAAUUUCGGUAAACGAUGGGGAUGCGUUCCAUUAGAUAGUAGGCGGGGUAACGGCCCACCUAGUCUACGAUGGAUAGGGGUUCUGAGAGGAAGGUCCCCCACACUGGUACUGAGACACGGACCAGACUCCUACGGGAGGCAGCAGUGAGGA